GACAGAGGGUGCAAACGUUGUUCGGAAUUACUGGGCGUAAAGCGAGUGUAGGCGGUUCGGUAAGUCGGAUGUGAAAGCCCCGGGCUCAACCCGGGAAGUGCACUCGAUACUGCCGAGCUAGAGUAUCGGAGAGGUUGGUGGAAUUCCAGGUGUAGCGGUGAAAUGCGUAGAUAUCUGGAGGAAUACCGGUGGCGAAGGCGGCAUCCUGGACCGGCAUUGACGCUGAUGAGCGAAAGCUAGGGGAGCAAACGGG
rnacentral:rRNA from 1 species